rnacentral:rRNA from 1 species
GAUGAACGCUAGCUACAGGCUUAACACAUGCAAGUCGAGGGGAAACGACAUCGAAAGCUUGCUUUUGAUGGGCGUCGACCGGCGCACGGGUGAGUAACGCGUAUCCAACCUGCCCAUCACUUGGGGAUAACCUUGCGAAAGUAAGACUAAUACCCAAUGAUAUCUCUAGAAGACAUCUGAAGGAGAUUAAAAGAUUUAUCGGUGAUGGAUGGGGAUGCGUCUGAUUAGCUUGUUGGCGGGGUAACGGCCCACCAAGGCAACGAUCAGUAGGGGUUCUGAGAGGAAGGUCCCCACAUUGGAACUGAGACACGGUCCAAACUCCUACGGGAGGCAGCAGUGAGGAAUAUUGGUCAAUGGGCGAGAGCCUGAACCAGCCAAGUAGCGUGCAGGACGACGGCCCUAUGGGUUGUAAACUGCUUUUAUAAGGGAAUAAAGUAGAGUCUCGUGAGGCUUUUUGCAUGUACCUAUGAAUAAGACCGGCUAAUUCCGUGCCAGCAGCCGACGG